rnacentral:rRNA from 1 species
UACGGAGGGUGCAAGCGUUAAUCGGAAUUAUUGGGCGUAAAGAGCUCGUAGGCGGUCUGUCGCGUCGGCUGUGAAAACCCGGAGCUCAACUCCGGGCCUGCAGUCGAUACGGGCAGACUGGAGUUCGGCAGGGGAGACUGGAAUUCCUGGUGUAGCGGUGAAAUGCGCAGAUAUCAGGAGGAACACCGGUGGCGAAGGCGGGUCUCUGGGCCGUUACUGACGCUGAGGAGCGAAAGCGUGGGGAGCGAACAGG